rnacentral:rRNA from 1 species
UCCGUAGGUGAACCUGCGGAAGGAUCAUUACUGUGAUUUAGUACUACACUGCGUGAGCGGAACGAAAACAAAAACACCUAAAAUGUGGAAUAUAGCAUAUAGUCGACAAGAGAAAUCUACGAAAAACAAACAAAACUUUCAACAACGGAUCUCUUGGUUCUCGCAUCGAUGAAGAGCGCAGCGAAAUGCGAUACCUAGUGUGAAUUGCAGCCAUCGUGAAUCAUCGAGUUCUUGAACGCACAUUGCGCCCCUCGGCAUUCCGGGGGGCAUGCCUGUUUGAGCGUCGUUUCCAUCUUGCGCGUGCGCAGAGUUGGGGGAGCGGAGCGGACGACGUGUAAAGAGCGUCGGAGCUGCGACUCGCCUGAAAGGGAGCGAAGCUGGCCGAGCGAACUAGACUUUUUUUCAGGGACGCUUGGCGGCCGAGAGCGAGUGUUGCGAGACAACAAAAAGCUCGACCUCAAAUCAGGUAGGAAUACCCGCUGAACUUAAGCAUAUCAAUAAGCGGAGGA